rnacentral:misc_RNA from 1 species
GUGAAUCAUCGAAUCUUUGAACGCAAAUUGCACUCUCUUCGGAGAGUAUGCCUGUUUGAGGGUCAGCCUAAAAAAAAUCGACGUAGUCGCUGUUUCGCGUUGCCUUUGGUCGGAAUUUGGGUCAUCUUAAACCUUUGGGUUUUUUAAGCGCCUUAAAUUUUUCUUUCCGUUUCAACGAACGUUUUUAAGUUUUUAUUUCUUACACC